AUGCUGAGAUGGACCCUAAAACCCCCCUUUAAGCACAAAGGCUUGGUCCUAGCCUUAAAAUCAAUUUUUACUUAAUUUACACAUGCAAGUCUCUACACCCCCGUGAAAACGCCCUUAAACCCCUUCAGGGAUAAGGAGCUGGUAUCAGGCACAAUAACUUGCCCAAAACACCUAGCUAUGCCACACCCACAAGGGCUAACAGCAGUGAUCAAUAUUAAACAUGAACGCCAGUUUGAUUUAGUUAAAGUAAAUAGAGCCGGCAAAACUGGUGCCAGCCGCCGCGGUUACACCAUGCGACUCAAAUUGAUUAAUACCGGCGUAAAGCGUGAUUAAAGCCUAAAAUAUUUUUAGGGUUAAAACUAGAUUAAGCCGUGACAUGCUUAUCUAUUAAGAAACUCAUAAACGAAAGUUGCCCUAAUUUAACCGACCUGAAUUCACGAUAGCUAGGGUCCAAACUGGGAUUAGAUACCCCAUUAUGCCUAGCCCUAAACUUUAACUUACACCUCCCACACGCCAGGGGACUACGAGCAACGCUUAAAACCCAAAGGACUUGACGGUACCCCACAUCCACCUAGAGGAGCCUGUCCUAUAAUUGAUGACCCCCGCUAAACCUUACCAUUUUUUGCCUGUCAGCUUGUAUACUUCCGUCUUCAGCUUACCUCGUGAGCGUAACUCAGUGAGCUUAACGCCAACUCCGCCAAUAAGUCAGGUCAAAGUGCAGCUAAUAAAGUGGAAAGAGAUGGGCUACACUCUCUAACCUAGAGGAUACGAAAGACUAUGCUGAAAUCAUACCAAAAGGCGGAUUUAGAAGUAAAAAGGAAACAAA
rnacentral:rRNA from 1 species